rnacentral:lncRNA from 1 species
AAAAAAACAGCCUUUUUUUUUUUUCUCCUCCUCUUAACUUUUCUCUAACACAAUUGGCUUUCUCCCUUGAUUUAAACAGUCUUCACCUGUGCUUGCUCUUCAGCUGCUCAGCCAGCUCUUCAGGUGCCUAUUGUGCAGGCUGCUUUCCACAUCCAGUGGGAUAUCAGUGAUACCAUUGUGUUAAUGUGCUUUAGCCUUCUGCAGUUUUUACUGCCAGAUUUUCCUCCUCUGUCUGCAUCUGACCUGAAAUUUCUGUUGCCUGUCAUCAUCAGCGAAAGAGAAUAAGAUAUUCGGCAUUAUCAAGAAUUUUAGGAGGAGAUUGCGAACCUUAAAACCAUCUGUGGACAUCUGUCGUGCAGUUACUUGCACCGAUCUGUUACAGCCCUCUCCCUACCCAAGCCUAUGUACUGUUGAAGACUAUCACAUUUCUGCAGGGUCUUUUGCCAUGAAGAACUCAUUCUCUGAUCUACAGCCUGUUACUCCUUGUGCAUCUCAGGGUGAAUCACGUGAUGGUGGUGACCAUAGGCGUUGUCUCUGCCUUGCAAUACAGAUAUCUUUGAUUCUGUUACCUGUUACUCAAAGGCUUGCUGUAGCCCCCAGGGCUGCUGCAAUCGUAUUGGUGCUAAGAGAC